CCUAAAGAAAGUUACUGAGAAUGCUGUGGGCACAAUGCUUCAUGAAGACCCCUGAGGAGGAAUUUUGCUUCCUAAAACCACAAACAGCUGCAUUUCUGCUGAGCAGUUACUUCACCUUGUGUUACCCAAGAAUUGUGUAAUUGAUCAGAAAAGAAAACUGAGCCUGGAAGUUUAUCAAGGCAAGAUAGAAACAAUCCAGCCAUGUAACCUCCAGCAGAUGGACACAUGCUUACUUCGGGCAAGAUGGGCAACACUUGCCCUCCUCCCUGAGAGCCUCUCCAUACCCAGGGCAAGCUGGCUGGGAGCGCAUUUUCCCUGGCUGAAUCCUGUCUCCAGCCCAGAGUCCCUCCUGGAGCAGCCAGCACAAUUAUGCCCACUUUCCUCUCUGAAAUGGUUGACCUGCAUUUCUGAGUUGCUG
ensembl:lncRNA